AAUUUUAUUUUAUAGUUUACAAUUGUUAUUAAGUAACGUCCUGCCAAACCCGUCCCGCCAACCCGUCCUCUAAAAAAAACUCAUUUAUUUUAUUAAUGUUGAUCUUAUUUAUGAUAUGUUUAUGAAUUAUUGUCUAAAUAUUUUGUAAUUUUGUAGUAAUUAAAUGCUAUCAAAUAUCUCUACGGUUUGAUGAUUAUAAUCAUGUAGAAAAGCAAUAUCAAAAAUGAUAAUUUUGUAGUAAUUAAAUAAUAUUAAAUAUUUUGGAAGUUUUAUUUUAGUAAUUAAUCGUGAAGUUAAGGUAGAGAGAUUUUGGGAAAAUUGUUAAAUGUCAAAUAUUUAAUUAGAAGAUUUUCUUUCUAAUUAUCAAAAACAAUUAUUAAAUGUCAGUGGCAGCCGCUGUAAAUAAAUCUCAAAUCUAGAAUUUAUUUCACAAAGUGACUGCAAAAAUGUAUAUAUAGAUGUCAUAUCAUAACCAAAAUUAAAAUUAUAAAU
rnacentral:sRNA from 1 species